rnacentral:lncRNA from 1 species
GAACGAACCGCAGGCGUGGCGCCCUCGGCGGGGAGCCCCACGCCGGCCCCUCCUCUCCUCGCCCCCGCCCAGCUCCCUCCAGGCUCAGCAACCACCGGCCACGCCGCUGUGGGGAGUCGCAAGAAUCACCUUGGACACUUAUGGUGAGCGACUUCUCUGCUUGAGUUUCUUCAGAUGAAAACGAUUCAGAAGACCUUUAUUUUAGCUUUGAAGCAGUGGGAAGGCAGCAGCAGUCAGGAGAGGGAGGAGAGUGCUGGGCGCUGCUCAGAACAGAGGGAGGAGUAGGAGACGGGAAUGCAUAAUGCGUGAGUGACAGGGGUUGUGCAAGCGGCUGGCGGAGUCCAGAAGACGCGGAUGUUCCUGUCCCAGGGUCCAGGUAUGUUUAUUGUCCCUCUCUCUGAGGCAGUAGUUGCUUUGGAAGCAUCCUGUAUCAGCUGCAGAGAUCUUCCCUGUCCAGCCUGAUGUUCUGCAGGCAGCACCUGUUGCGGCAGGGACGGGGUUUAGCAGCGGCAGACGCUGAGCCUGUCGCUCAUCCAUCCAUGAGGGGC